rnacentral:lncRNA from 1 species
GUUCUGUUUGCAGCUGGCCUGUUUGAAUCAAGAUCCAGACAAGGUCCACACACUGCAUGUAGUUGAAGCCUCUUGGAAAAAAUCUUCAGGUCCCCACGCCUUUGAACAUAGGCACAUCCAGCAAAAGCAGAUGAGAACCUGGCUCUGUUUCAAAGGUGAGGCUGUAAUUGAAAAUAGUUAGAUCAUGCGGCGUGCUGCUGUGG